GCCAGCUCCAUCACAGCUCUGCUAUUGCGCCAGCAAUGCUGGAACAUAACCCUCCUCAGGACUGGGAUCAAGGGUCCAGUUUCACCUUUGCUAGUCAAAGGCAAAGAAGAUAGGACUUAUACCUGCAAUUAAAGUGGGCACAGUUCUGCUUUAAUAUCUAUUAACUCUGGAGUAACAAAGCUAAGAGAAGAAUGACUAAAACAAGACUCACAGUAGGAUUAAUUUGGAGCUUGGCAUUCUCAUCUUCCAUUAGGGAUGUCUGCAUCAUGUACAGCAUAACAUUGUGGCAAGGUGUCCUCUUUCCUAUAAACACACUUUUGCUUUUGGAGACUGUUUGCAUUGAAGGGGAAAAAAGUCAUGAAAUUGAAGCCCUGGAGAAAAUAAUUUAUGCUCAAGAAACACAUUUUAGCCUUUCUGUCUGAA